UUCCCUACGGGGGACCCACGGCGGUGCAGAGGUCGAUCCACCGACUCUCUGUCCCCUCCCACCGGCGUCCCCUGCCGCCGUGCGCGGCCACACCUGCAUUAAACGGGGAAAGUCCGUCCGGUGAGGAAGCAGAGAGACUGUGGGGCUUCAGAAAGCUGAGGCAGGAAGCGGGGCACCUUCAGCAGCCUGCAUCGCAUUGCUUUGGACCCCUGUGAUCCAAGAAGGGGUGAAGGCAUGAUGGCUUGCACCGACUGGUGGCACUGACACUUUGAAACCGUCGACACGGGCUGGGAAUUUGGAUUAAAGACGAAACAGACCUGACCGGUGCCGGAUAGAAGAGACCGAGUCUGAGCAGCUGAGCGCACAGGCUUUCCCCUGCGAGCCCUGGCAGAGCGAGGACAGUGACACUGUGACAGUGACUCGGCCAUUGUCUCCUCACUGUUUCUGGACAGUGUGUGGCUCCCGGGCUGCCUCGGCUGUCCAUUGUGACUGUAGAGAAGAAAGAAAGAUCCAGCUUGUCUGCAUAAAGACCUAUUCAGCAUCAUUUCUCUUUGCCAGCCACAUUUGCAACCAUUACAACAGCACUGAAGUCUCAGCACUAUCCCUAGCCCCAAGCCUUUUCCUCCACCCUCAGCCCCCUCUCCUCUAACCCCGUCAUCCCUACCCCAUUCCCUCAGCCCCUUCCCACUCCGCUGCCCCAGGUUCACCCUCAGCUUCUACCCCAUACGGAGUCCCAGAUGACAGCUCAGAAACAUCCGUUACCCUCCCACUCCACACGAGCCUUCUUUCCUCUCCCUCCAGCCCCCAUGGCGCUUGGCACCAAUGCCCAUCACAUAGACAGAUGGAGCCAACCCUGACCCCUCUCCUCGCCAGUGGGGACGCCAAGAGAAUCAACGCCUGACUAGAGGAGAGGGGGUUGUGUGAGUUGUGUGUAGGGGGGAGACAGGAAGGCGAAGAGGAGAGUAUUGCUUUGUCACCAAGGCAACACAUCGCCCAGUCUCCCGUGGACUCCCCUUCAGCCCAACCCAAGGCCCUAGGAUAAAAACGCACACAGCAGGAAAUUCAACAGCAGGACCAGAAGGACCUCUGUUGUUUUUUUCCUCUAAAUUGUGCCUGACAUAUUCUUGCUUUGAUUAUUUGGCGGAGAUAUCUUGUUCUGUGCUUGUGUGGAGAGAAGAUGUGAACACUGAUAAAAAUUCUAAAUAUAGGAGACAUUAUUUAAAAGACGCAGGAAAUCACAAGAAGUCUAAAAAUGCCAAAGGAAAACCAGCGUGUGAAGUGUGAAGUUUUACUCAACACCACAGAAGUUUCAUUCUGAGCUCCACGCUUCCUUUCCCCUCUGGCCUAAGAAGAGCUGCAAUUGCCUGGCAAAAAUAUUGCCAUUUUAAAAUGCAAAUCAACAUGCGGGAUGGAUUUUUUUUACAGUGACUGCUGAUGCUCUGCAAAAUCAGGACUGGAAAUUUUGUGGAUGUUUUGAGAAUUUGGACCUAUCUCUGUAUGCCAGACUUUGUGAACGCUUUGUAUACACACCAGGGUGGAUAAAACUACAAGACACUGAGCUCAGUCAAGUGAUUUAGUUGCAUUAUAUUCAUUGCCACAAAUUCAAGCCACCUUUAAGAUUUUCAGGAUAACAUACGGAGCAACCCUCUCUCAAACCUCGGGACUUGUCUGUUGGACCUGACAGUGUUUGUGGAUGGAAUAAGGGCUGAACAGAUUCUUAAGUGGAUUCUGCUUCCUCUGUGGUGGUGGCGGCCUUUUUCAGCAGGCUGGGAGUGGCAGCAGGAUGCCUGAACUGGACAACUUUCCCCCCCUGAGGGGACACAGAGGCCCUGAACUGGGCCUCAAUGGUCCUGCCGACCCAGUUCAGAUUCAGCACAGCAUACUGGAGGAACAGGUGGAGCUGUGGUGGUUCAGAGAUCCAGGGAAGUCUCUGCUCUGCUACUGCGUCGCUGUAUUUCUAAUUCUGGGCUGCGGGCUCGGAGGCGUUGGGCUUCUCUCCACCACCACCAGCGUCUCAAGUGAAUGGCGGCUUGGUGCAGGCACAGCCCUCUGCCUGCUAGCCCUGGGGGUCCUGCUCAAACAACUGCUCAGCUCGGCUGUGCAGGACAUGAAUUGCGUUCGAAGCCGGCAACGGAUUGACAUGCUAAAAAGUGGCGGUUUAUCAGACCUCCUUGUGGUUUUGAUUACUGGGCUGUCACUGUUGAUUUGUGGAGGGGUUCUACUACAUCUGGCCCUGGCUAACCACAUGCCGAAGCCUGGCCAAGCCCUUAAUGACAUGUACAUCUCUGGAGUGGUUUUGCUGGCUGGAGGGGGGGCUGCAGUUUUGGGUGUUGGGAUAUACUCAGUCGUGGUGGUCCUCCUUGAGAGGACAAGGCACGGACGACGGUUUGUGGACCAGGUUUUGAAUAUCUUCACUGUGUCUGGACACAUGGACCGCCAUGCUCGCAGAGAGACUACCUCCAGUCUGGCUAACCUCAUAUGAGAUGUAACCACACUAAGGUUGUGUAUUUUGGCCCCUAGCUCUUAAUGUUAGAACUUUAGGUUUCACCUAAAGCAAGAAUCAUGCCCAAACUCAAGAAGAAAUCUGGCAAAAACAAAAAAAAGUCAUCCCUUACAUGUUCUAGCUUUUUCACCAGCUGAUUAGAGUGUGUAUGAAACAAAACGAGUGGAAUUGUAAUAUCUGCUUGACAAAUUCAUUAGCAAUAAGCAGUAAAAUCUCAGUCAAGCAGCAAGGAUGAAAAGACUGUAGAGUAACAUACUGAUUAAGAAUUGAUUACUACAAGGCAAUGCUCACACUGCAGCUGAAAGUGUCCCAAUUCAGAUUUGUUUCUUCACAUGUGAGCAGAUACAAAGUCAGAUGCUGUGGAAAAGAAUUCCUAUGUAACUUUUAUUUGAAAGCUCAACGCAGUAUUUUUUAUGUACUGUUAAUCCAUUCACAUAGGACAAAAUGCCAAAAUCUUGGUGCUUGUGGCAGUUUGGCUGAGGUAGUGUUGCUACGCAGGUCACCAACACCAACAAUGGAAAAGAAGUGAGAAGAAUUGUAAGAAAAACUCAGUUGGUAUUGAGGGAGAAUCAGUGAAAUGGAGAGCACACACAAAUACAUCUGAAACAAAAAGGACAAGUGUUAGUUCAAGAACUGCUUUUGAUGUUGUUAUUAGACGGGUUCAGGAGUCUGUGGUGUGAGCAUAGCCUACAAUUUCAUUUACAGUAUAUAAAGCUCUUUUUCCCAAAUGAUGUUUAAACAACAAGCUAUGAGAAUCUUAAACCUACACACCUGAGGGGACAAAAACCUCCACCUUCUCGAAGGUAACAUACAGUGUUAGACAGGCCAUUUACAAAUUGUAGGAUCACACUUUCAAAUUAUCCCAUCUGUUAUAAAACAUGUUUCCUGUCAAAGUGUCCUUGGGCCACACAUCUGACCACUACCUGUUUAAUGAUUGUAAGAUGUUAUGAAUAAGAGCACCAGCUGACUUGCUAAAAUGUAAAUGGCAGUUACAGAAUGAGCAAUAGAUGGGAGAACAUAAAUAUGAAAAAAAAAAAUCUUUUAAAAUCUUCUUAAUGAUUCAUGCGCCACCUUCACUCUGGCCAUAUUCACAUGAGGAUAUGAAAAUAUUCAGCUGAUGAAUUUGACUGUGGUUCAAACUGAGGACGGUCGAUGAGUGAGAGGCUCGAUAAGGCUAAACUCUCGCUCAUUGGAAUGACUUUGCCCUGUGAUUUGAGUUUCUUUCUCAGUUUAACUAUAACUUAACAUAAUUCAUGCAGUACUGUGUUUGUGACAGACCUUGUCAAAACUUCACUGUAACAUUUGGCUGCCUGUACACAUAAGACAACAUGAUUGUUGGAAUUAUAUCACAGCACUUUGAAUGUAUGGAUUAUUUGUGUUUUGUGCAUGAACACAGUAUUGUCUUCACUGUGAAUCUUGCAGCACAUUGUUUUCCUUAAACCUGCUUUAAUCUAUAUUUUUUGAUAUUAACAGUGAAUCAAAGGACCGUGUAAUGUGAAACGUUUGCUAAUAGUGCAAAAAUCACUGACACCAAGGUCUGCGGAGCUUUUAAGCUUCUUAGCUCAUUGUUUUUACAGUAAGGCUGAGUCUCAUUGUUCUCAUUCAUCCCUGUAGGCAGACAUUUCAAGCCAAAAAUGUUCUGAUGAAUCCACUGUACACCAGCUACCUAACUGGCACACAGACAAAGUUACAAAGCGGCUGAUGAACCCAAGCAUCUUGUUAGCUAAAGACCCAAACAUUUCGUUGAUGGGCACCUAAACAGAGCUAAUGAGAGAGUAUUUGGGCUUGUAUUUGUCAGAUGGACAGGAACAAAACUUUAAAUUUGUGGACAGUUUGAUGUCAAUCUAGUUUGCUCCCCACAGCUGUGAACAGGACAGUUCACGGACACGUCAAUCCACUCAUGUCAUUUCAAAAAGAGCAGUGGCACCGGUGCUUCCUAACGAGACACAAAGAGACAGAGCUGCACAGGGAACAUGCAAGCAACUGACAGUUGUAAAAAGGGAACAAGCGUAUCUCCCAAUGUUAUUCCUCUUCAAAGGUGACAUUUUCAAAGGCAAAGACUACUACUAUUAAUCCUGAUCUUGUCCAAUGCAAGGCGACAGUAACCUUGGUAUUCGCUGAGUGCCACCCUGGGAGCUUCCUGUGGCAUCAUUCAAUCUUUGCAGCUCCUGACUCGUACCUGACAAAGCCAGGUAAUGGACAUGAUUGAUGUAAGAGAGUCAGGUUCAUUCCUAGGGCGGAUGGCAGGUAUGAAACUUAAGGAUUUCUGGCAGUGGUCCAGUGAAGGUAUUGGGCUUCUAUCUCCAUAUCAUUUCCUUUUGCUCCCCCCCCCCCAUUCAAACUAGUGAGAUGGUAAGGAUUUUACUGCAGUCUCAUCAACAUAUGGUGGCUGAAAUAUGACUAUACGUGAUGAUGUCUCAUCUGUCCAAAAAUCAAGCAUGUGUUUGAGGUAGAAAUGUUGCUUCUUGAAUGUGUAAUGUGUUUUAAAAGGUAAAAACUCAGGUUACUUAUAAGCACUUGGUUCUUGUCUCCCCUGGUAUCAUCUUGGAUUAUGACAGAAGUGAUGCAGACGGGUUCAUUUCCAGGGCAGCGAUUGAAUCUACAGAUCCCUGGUGCCAGCUUGGUUAAACAGAGUUUACUGUCUUUUCAUGACUUUGCACUAGCCCCAUUCAAAUUUGGAUAACUGAGAGACAUUUUACUAGUCUGAAAAAGGAACUAAUACAGUACUCCACAAGCUAGCAGGCUAGUGAAGUUCCUAUCCUUGGCAUGGUGUCAUUCUAAGCCCCUGAGGCCAUGGCUCAUGGUGAUAGAGCCAGGUAAUGGAUAUGAUGAAUGUUAUGCAGCUGGGUUCAUUCCUGGGGCACAAACUGUAUAGCGAUGCAGAAAGACCAAUUCUGACACUGAUCUCACGAGGAAAACUAUUUAACCUCACAGUAACCUCACAGUUGCUAAUGGGUUUGGUAUUGAAAGAACUCUGCUUUUAGGGACCAUACACUUGUAAUUCAAGAUAAAGAAAAAACAUUUC